CUAAGCGUGCAGUUUCAAAUUCCUUCUACUUCCUCAUGACUCGAACCAAGGUUACCCCUCGCAGGGACGUCAAUCAACGCCGUGUUCUCUCUUUGGAGGAAGAAGGUCGUCAAGCGGCCACUAGAGCUGGGCUUACUCAUCCAUGGGACCAUCGUCCUAUCCGUGAGCGUACCCGCAGUCCCCCUCCUCUGCCUCGUCGCUCUCCCAGACUGCAUCCCGGAGAGUCUUCUUCCUCACCAGCUGCUCGUGCUCCUCGGCCUAUGGCCACCCUGGAAAGCUUGUCGGAUUCGAUUGAUGAUUUGCGUUCCUCUCUCCGCGAUGGUAUUAUGGUGAC
rnacentral:lncRNA from 1 species